UUACUGAUUCCAGCUAGUAGCACGAACUCUGCCACGUUUGUGUAUCGAAGCAAGCUCUUCCAUAACCAUUUCGACGAGGUUUUGAACUGAAUAGUUCCGAACGGUGACAUGGCUGAGAGGAUAAGGCACACAACGGAGAAAUGAAUGUGAAUUCGAACGGUUUCUAUGUCGAGAAAAAGCUGUUAAUUGACGGACACAGCAGCACCGGCGGGAGACGGCGAGCGGCGGCGUAGCGGCGGAACGGAAAAUUACGCAGCUGUUCAUGGCGCGAACCGCCAUGGUGUGUGGUCGGGAGCUAGAAAUUGG
rnacentral:misc_RNA from 1 species